rnacentral:rRNA from 1 species
AGAGUUUGAUCAUGGCUCAGAUUGAACGCUGGCGGAAUGCUUUACACAUGCAAGUCGAGCGGCAGCGCGGGGCAACCUGGCGGCGAGCGGCGAACGGGUGAGUAAUGCAUCGGAACAUGUCCAUGUCGUGGGGGAUAGCCCGGCGAAAGCCGGAUUAAUACCGCAUACGCCCGAGAGGGGAAAGCCGGGGACCGCAAGGCCUGGCGCGAUUGGGUUGGCCGAUGUCCGAUUAGCUAGUUGGCGGGGUAAGAGCCCACCAAGGCGAUGAUCGGUAGCUGGUCUGAGAGGAUGAUCAGCCACACUGGGACUGAGACACGGCCCAGACUCCUACGGGAGGCAGCAGUGGGGAAUUUUGGACAAUGGGGGCAACCCUGAUCCAGCCAUUCCGCGUGAGUGAAGAAGGCCUUCGGGUUGUAAAGCUCUUUUGUCCGGAACGAAACGGCUAGCGUGAAUAUCGCUGGCUAAUGACGGUACCGGAAGAAUAAGCACCGGCUAACUACGUGCCAGCAGCCGCGGUAAUACGUAGGGUGCGAGCGUUAAUCGGAAUUACUGGGCGUAAAGCGUGCGCAGGCGGUUUUGUAAGCCAGAUGUGAAAUCCCCGGGCUUAACCUGGGAAUGGCAUUUGGGACUGCAAGGCUGGAGUUUGGCAGAGGAGACUGGAAUUCCCGGUGUAGCAGUGAAAUGCGUAGAUAUCGGGAGGAAUACCGAUGGCGAAGGCAGGUCUCUGGGCUAUAACUGACGCUCAUGCACGAAAGCGUGGGGAGCAAACAGGAUUAGAUACCCUGGUAGUCCACGCCCUAAACGAUGUCGACUGGUUGUUGGGGGUUUGACACUCUCAGUAACGAAGCUAACGCGUGAAGUCGACCGCCUGGGGAGUACGGCCGCAAGGUUAAAACUCAAAGGAAUUGACGGGGACCCGCACAAGCGGUGGAUUAUGUGGAUUAAAUUCGAUGCAACG